rnacentral:rRNA from 1 species
UACAGAGGGUGCGAGCGUUUAAUCGGAAUUACUGGGCGUAAAGCGUGCGUAGACGGUUUCGUAAGUCGGGUGUGAAAUCCCCCGGGCUCAACCUGGGAAUUGCAUUCGAAACUGCGAGGCUAGGGUACGGAAGAGGGAAGCGGAAUUUCUGGUGUAGCGGUGAAAUGCGUAGAUAUCAGAAGGAACAUCAGUGGCGAAAGCGGCUUCCUGGUCCAGUACCGACGUUCAGGCACGAAAGCGUGGGGAGCAAACAGG